UACGUAGGGUGCGAGCGUUAAUCGGAAUUACUGGGCGUAAAGUGUGCGCAGGCGGCCGCGCAAGUCGCGUGUGAAAGCCCCCGGCUCAACUGGGGAGGGUCACGCGAUACUGCUCGACUCGAAGGCAGGAGAGGGAAGUGGAAUUCCCGGUGUAGUGGUGAAAUGCGUAGAUAUCGGGAGGAACACCAGUGGCGAAGGCGACUACCUGGCCUGUUCUUGACGCUGAGGCGCGAAAGCUAGGGGAGCAAACGGG
rnacentral:rRNA from 1 species